rnacentral:rRNA from 1 species
GAUGAACGCUGGCGGCGUGCCUAAUACAUGCAAGUCGAGCGAAUGGAUUAAGAGCUUGCUCUUAUGAAGUUAGCGGCGGACGGGUGAGUAACACGUGGGUAACCUGCCCAUAUGACUGGGAUAACUCCGGGAAACCGGGGCUAAUACCGGAUAACAUUUUGAACCGCAUGGUUCGAAAUUGAAAGGCGGCUUCGGCUGUCACUUAUGGAUGGACCCGGGUCGCAUUAGCUAGUUGGUGAGGUAACGGCUCACCAAGGCAACGAUGCGUAGCCGACCUGAGAGGGUGAUCGGCCACACUGGGACUGAGACACGGCCCAGACUCCUACGGGAGGCAGCAGUAGGGAAUCUUCCGCAAUGGACGAAAGUCUGACGGAGCAACGCCGCGUGAGUGAUGAAGGCUUUCGGGUCGUAAAACUCUGUUGUUAGGGAAGAACAAGCGCUAGUUGAAUAAGCUGGCACCUUGACGGUACCUAACCAGAAAGCCACGGCUAACUACGUGCCAGCAGCCGCCGUAA